rnacentral:sRNA from 1 species
AAUAUAGAAUAUGCUUCUCACCCACAAAAAAAAAAAACGUUUUGCCAAAAUUUCUUAAAUGGAUGACAAAAGAAGGUUGAAAAAAGGGUAAAUUGUAGGUCACACCCGUUGACCAUGUUUUAUUUCCAUGGAUUGUCAAAGUCAAAUGUGGUUUUCAUCAUUUGUCUUUUCGUCUGCAAAAUGACGUUUCUGCCCUUGCGCUUCUCUCUUAGUAAUUGUUGAAAUGUACGGUUUAGUUUAGUAGGUUUAGUUACGUACACUGUUCCGGUUCAGUUAAAGAUUUUUUGUUUCACGUUGACGCGAUUCGGUUCCGUUACAAGUGAGAUUAUUUCCAUUAUUCCGAAGUGACAUCAACAUUUAAUGCCCCCAAAAAGUUUAGAUGUGACUAUUGUCACAAUUAAUGCAAAAUCAUCAUUACAUCAAAUAAUAUUAAAAAAAUUA